GGAAGGGUGUCCGAGUGGUUUAAGGAGCACGCUUGGAAAGCGUGUAAGGGGGCAACCUCUUCGCAGGUUCGAAUCCUGUCCCUUCCGCCA
rnacentral:tRNA from 1 species